GCCUUCUUACUGCAGCUAGCAGUGUGUCGGUCUCAUAAUCUGGAGGCCCUGAGUUUGAGCCUCAGAGAAGGCA
rnacentral:tRNA from 1 species